UACGUAGGGUGCGAGCGUUAAUCGGAAUUACUGGGCGUAAAGCGUGCGCAGGCGGUUUUGUAAGCCAGAUGUGAAAUCCCCGGGCUCAACCUGGGAAUGGCAUUUGGGACUGCAAGGCUGGAGUGUGGCAGAGGAGACUGGAAUUCCUGGUGUAGCAGUGAAAUGCGUAGAUAUCAGGAGGAAUACCGAUGGCGAAGGCAGGUCUCUGGGCUGACACUGUCGCUCAUGCACGAAAGCGUGGGGAGCAAACAGG
rnacentral:rRNA from 1 species